rnacentral:rRNA from 1 species
UACGUAGGGACCGAGCGUUGUCCGGAUUCAUUGGGCGUAAAGAGCUCGUAGGCGGCCACUCAAGUCGAAUGUGAAACCUCGAGGCUUAACCUCGAGCCUGCAUUCGAUACUGGGCGGCUAGAGUCUGGUAGGGGGAUCUGGAAUUCCUGGUGUAGCGGUGGAAUGCGCAGAUAUCAGGAGGAACACCAAUUGCGAAGGCAGCUCGCUGGGACGUUACUGACGCUGAGACGCGAAAGCGUGGGGAGCAAACAGG